GUACUUACUCCUACGGGNGGCAGCAGUGGGGAAUUUUGGACAAUGGGGGCAACCCUGAUCCAGCAAUGCCGCGUGAGUGAAGAAGGCCUUCGGGUUGUAAAGCUCUUUUGUCAGGGAAGAAACGGUAGUAGCUAAUAUCUAUUACUAAUGACGGUACCUGAAGAAUAAGCACCGGCUAACUACGUGCCAGCAGCCGCGGUGAUACGUAGGGUGCAAGCGUUAAUCGGAAUUACUGGGCGUAAAGCGUGCGCAGGCGGUUGUGUAAGUCAGAUGUGAAAUCCCCGGGCUCAACCUGGGAAUUGCAUUUGAGACUGCACGGCUAGAGUGUGUCAGAGGGGGGUAGAAUUCCACGUGUAGCAGUGAAAUGCGUAGAUAUGUGGAGGAAUACCGAUGGCGAAGGCAGCCCCCUGAGAUAACUCUGACGCUCAUGCACGAAAGCGUGGGGAGCAGACAGGAUUAGAUACCCCAGUAGNNCAGGCAU
rnacentral:rRNA from 1 species